UACGUAGGGUGUAAGCGUUAAUCGGAAUUACUGGGCGUAAAGCGUGCGCAGGCGGUGAUGUAAGACCGAUGUGAAAUCCCCGGGCUUAACCUGGGAACUGCAUUGGUGACUGCAUUGCUAGAGUAUGGCAGAGGGGGGUGGAAUUCCACGUGUAGCAGUGAAAUGCGUAGAGAUGUGGAGGAACACCGAUGGCGAAGGCAGCCCCCUAGGCCAAUACUGACGCUCAUGCACGAAAGCGUGGGGAGCAAACAGG
rnacentral:rRNA from 1 species